rfam:Paxillus rubicundulus Ve08.2h10 scaffold_2590_c1, whole genome shotgun sequence.
GGACCAGUAGCCCUGUUGGAAGAGUGCCGCUGUACUACGCUGGAUGCCAUGGGUUCAAUCCCCGUCUAGUCCG